GCGGUUCCGGCGCCGUUACUUUGAAAAAAUUAGAGUGCUCAAAGCAGGCUGUUACGCCUGAAUAUUCGUGCAUGGAAUAAUAGAAUAGGACGUCGAUCCUAUUUUGUUGGUUUUCGGGACUCGACGUAAUGAUUAAUAGGGACAGUCGGGGGCAUUAGUACUCACAUGCUAGAGGUGAAAUUCUUGGAUUUUGUGAAGACUAACUACUGCGAAAGCAUUUGCCAAGGAUGUUUUCAUUAAUCA
rnacentral:rRNA from 1 species